GCCUCCAUUUGUUGGUGGGAACCGACAGAAAGUUCAACAGAAGAUUAUCAAGGACAAGAUUAAGCUGCCAGCAUUUUUGUCUAGCGAUGCACAUUCAUUGUUGAAAGGGGUAAGCUACAUUUUCAUUCUAUGAUAUGAAAGUGUACCGUCUUACUGAUAAUCAUCAAUGGUAGACACUUCUUAUAAGAUAAUAGACACAUCUAUGAUAUGAAAGUGUACCGUCUUGCUAAGAAUCACCAAAUGGUAAGACACUUGUUUAUGAUAAGAUUAUAGACACUAUAUCUCUUGAUUAUCCCUUUAAAUACUUCAGCUUGCAUGUCAUGUAAGAAUUAUGUUAGUAUAUCUUUUUUUAUGCUAUAGAUGAAGCUGUUAAUCAUAUUAAGAAGUUGCGUCAUGUUUUGUUUUCCCAGAAAAAUGAAGAGGUAUCAUAAGUGGAAAAAUGUUAUAUGUCGAUUGUGAGAAAGCACGGGAGAAGAAUAUAACUGAGAUUAAACAUAAUACAAUGAGCCCUAUAUAUAAUACUAAUAACCUAGAGUUCUACUAUAACUAGAGUUCUACUAUAUUUACAUAUCUAACAUCGAUAUUUCCUUUAGAAGAUUGAGUUAAGUUGCAAACAAAAGUAAUGCUCUAAGAUAGAUCACUAUGUACAAGUUAAUUAUUUAGGGGCAGUAUAGGACCCGAAAAUAUUUUAAAGGGCUUCAUUUUCAUAAAAAAUAAUGCUUACUUUCAAGACAUUUCUAGUAUAAGAAAGGUAACUUCCAUAUAAAAGUAUAAUAGUGUGCCGUCAUCUUUACUUGGGAUAAUUUGGAAGCCCAUACUGCUUAGCUAGUGUUUUGAAUCAAUUAGUGUAUAAUACCAUUCAUCAUGCUAUAUUCUAUUUAUCAUUUAGUUACUG
rnacentral:lncRNA from 1 species